AUCGCUUCUCGGCCUUUUGGCUCAGAUCAAGUGUAGUAUCUGUUCUUAUCAGUUUAAUAUCUGAUACGCCCCCAUCGGGGGACUACAUAUUAAAUGGAUUUUUCGAACAGGGAGUCGGAAAUGGGGCUUGCUCCGUCCGCCUCCACGCAUCGACCCGGUAUUGCAGUACCUCCGGGAAUGGUGCAACACUU
rnacentral:snRNA from 1 species